GCUGCCCCAUAGUUUCUGGCAAAGAUUGUAGAUGCGCAUCUCUUUUAGUAAAAUUGGAGCCAAGAAUAUUCCAGCGGUUACCCUCAUUUGAAUAGAUGGCGGCCAUGUUGGCCACGCUUAAAAACAACAAUAACUUUCAUCAUUUGAAUACUUUAAAAACGAAUAUGGAAUAGGUUUAACUUAAUGUUUAAGUUCCCUGUUUAAGAAAUAGGAAACAUACGAAUCUUCUCAUUUCAUGAGAACGACCUGAGACUGCAAUCACGGCUUCAAUUUUUGAAUUGCAGAAUAAUUAGAUGCACUAUCUAGUGUAUAUAAGAUAUCUAUGGUAAAAACGCAUAUUUAGGACCCUAAAAAUAUUUCAUCGUUGAUUUCACAUACGUUUCUCUAACUAAAUAACUAAAUUGAAUACCACGUAAUUGCACUAGUUACUAUGGGAAAUAGAGAAUUUAAGCUUCGCGUUAUACGGCACCAGACAAAGAAAAAUUUUACAGUAUCAGGCAGUAAAGAGUAAAUGAACUUGCUGUUUUAAAACUGCAAUGCAUGACUAUUCUUUCGACACAAGAAAGAAAACGAAAACAUUUCUGAAACGAAAACAUUCAACGGAAAUUUUGGGAAGAAAGUUCGAAUCUGCCGUUCCCGGAAACACGAAGCUUAACCUCCCUAGUGUUAUUCACGCACAAUGCUGAUACGCAAACAUAUAGAAUGCGCUAUUAGGCGGAGGACGAAGGUGGGAGAAGCAAGGGGGGAGGCGAAGGCGAGACUGGAAUUUUCAGUGCGAUAUCUUGCAUUUUACUAUACGCGUAAAGAAACCUAAACAAGUUUGAGCAUUGGAAUAAUAACAUCGGUAUAAUAAACAGUUGCAAUAAGUUUUUCAAGUGGCAGGGGCGCUCAGGCCGAGUCAGGCUGGUUGCAGUGUGAAAUGUAUACAGCUACUUCCAGGGCCGCCGAGAGGGGGCAAAUUGGCCAGAGGCUUUGGGGGCCCCUAGAAAUUUAAUGUUGGGCCCCAGUCAUUUUUUCCGGCGAAAUAUUUGUUUUCGGGCAGAAAUAUUUGUGUUGGGGGGGGGGGGGCAAAGUACCAGAAUUUGGUAUGGAAAAUUGCGGAAAAGGCCCACGAAAGCAAUUACAACGUACUUGUCAGGAAAAUUUUUUUACCUGAAAAGGAAUCAUUGUCCGAAAAAAAUUUUUCCGGAAAAUGUUUUUGCAAUAGGGGCCCCUAAAAAAUUUUGGCCCCGGGCCCCCGCCAAGGUCUCGGUUGUCAAUUAAGGUUGUCCCCGGGCAAAGCGGAAAAGUCGAAUACGAGCGCGAAAGGCUGCUGGGAAUCGCUGAUAAAUUCAUUCAUUUAUUAGCGAUUCCCAGCAGCCUUUCGCGCUCGUUUUCGACUUUUCCGUUUUGCUCGGGGAACAACCUUAAUUGAAAUAGCUGUAUAUUACUAUAACC